UUCCUCUUCUUCUCCCUCGUCACGCAUCAUACGAUGUUGUGCACACGCAGGCAAACGCUGAGAUUUCCAGCUAAUAAUGGUUCUGUGACACGUUAAAAUCAACAUCACAUCACUGUGAAAAUACGAAAAAAUCCCUUUAUUAAUCAGGGUUUACCACAGCGGAAUGAACCUGCCAACUUAUCCAGCAUAU